rnacentral:ncRNA from 1 species
UCAUCCAGAGCAGCUGAAGGACUGGCCUUAUGACGCUGCGGCAACCUCCUGUGAGGGCAGGAAGGUGCCAAUUCCAGCAGGAUCUAAUACCUGACAGAUGAG